UACGUAGGGUGCGAGCGUUAAUCGGAAUUACUGGGCGUAAAGCGUGCGCAGGCGGUUCGUUGUGUCCGUCGCGAAAGCCCCGGGCUUAACCUGGGAACUGCGAUGGAAACUAGCGAGCUGGAGUGUGGCAGAGGGGGGUGGAAUUCCGCGUGUAGCAGUGAAAUGCGUAGAGAUCAUGAGGAAGACCAGUGGCGAAGGCGGGUCUCUGGACAGUUCCUGACACUGAGACACGAAGGCCAGGGGAGCAAACGGG
rnacentral:rRNA from 1 species